GAUUAUAACCAGCUUUCAUCCACAAUGCUGUCCACAUCAGUGACAUGAAAUUGGAGAGUACAAAAGCAUGGCUGAAGUAACAUUUUUGCUCAGUCAAGUGUGAAUCAGUUGACCUGACAUAUGUUCUUGCAAGACUCAGUGUACUUUUUUAACAGCUAGAAAUCCUUUUUUUUUUUUUCUGUCAACACACCACAAAAGAGAAUAAAACACAGAUGAUAGACACUUUUACAACAUCUAAUGCUUGCAUAAUUCAUAUUCUCACACUUAAGAGUUUUCAUUCAGCUAGCUUAGCAUAACUCAUCCAAUAACACCCCCCCCACAGCUCAUGCAUAUCUGGAACGUAAAAAUAAGGAUGCUUCCCAUCACUGUAGUUCUGCUUGUCAUUUGUAUUAUUGUCAUCAUUAUAGUUCUCCUUUCUUCAAGCCCAUUUUGAAAUUUCAAUGCUUUUUUUGUGACUGUUUUCCACUCUUUAUCUAAACACGCAGCCAUUUCCUCAAGGGGUUGGUAUUUAUAGACCAAGGAAUGUACAUGGCUUAUUUACUGUCAUCAUAUCAUCCUAGCUGUCAAGUAGCAUCUUUUGCAGACUAAACCUUUCCCUUUUGUGUACUCAUAAUUGAUUCUGUGUUAUAUCGCCACCAAAAUACUGUGGAGAUAACCGCGCUGCCGUGUACACCGCUCAAAGGCCCCUGAGAGAUCGGAAACACUGUCACAUCUUAUCGCAACUUUUUGAACAGCGAGGUGAGGGGAGGGAACAGAGUAAAAACAGUGUGCUCCGCUGAAACUAGAAAUAGCAUUGUGUUACCAUGGCAGACAUUCAAAUGAAGCACUCCAUAAUCAAUGAGUGUAAAAUGAGGUUUUGUAAUGAAAUGGAUGGAAGCCAUGAUAUGAGGUCCAUACUUGGCCAAGGUCCUUUAGGAAAGCAGCUGGAUCCUCGUGUGGCCGAGUAUUCUGUAACAGGGUGACAGAGACGUGAGAGAGCAGCGUGUGACCGCCAGCCCCACCAGCCACGGGAGAGCACGGCCCCACACUGCACCAGCACAUCGACAGCCAAGACGCCGAGCACCGAGCACCAAACCGCCUCAAAGCAACGCCUAUCACCACCCUUCUUAUUUAAUAAAAUCCACCCUUCGGGGAAUUUACCCUCAUCCUCGAGUCGUGUCCUCCUUCACGAAGUAAAAAUAAACGGCCGCUCGUUCCUCGCCCUUCUGGACUCCGGCAGUGUGGUCAGUCUUGUCAGGAC
ensembl:lncRNA